AAUAGUAGUUUUACUUCUCAGAAGCUAAGCAGGGUCAGGCCUGGUUAGUACUUAGAUGGGAGACCACCUAGGAAGUCCAGGUGCUGUAGGCG
rnacentral:rRNA from 1 species